rnacentral:rRNA from 1 species
AUUGAACGCUGGCGGCAUGCCUAACACAUGCAAGUCGAACGGCAACAUGGUCUAGCUUGCUAGACUGAUGGCGAGUGGCGAACGGGUGAGUAACGCGUAGGAAUAUACCUUGAAGUGGGGAUAACUUGGGGAAACUCAGGCUAAUACCGCAUAAUGUCUAAGGAAGAAAGCUGGGGACCUUCGGGCCUGGCGCUUUAAGAUUAGCCUGCGUACGAUUAGCUAGUUGGUAGGGUAAAGGCCUACCAAGGCGACGAUCGUUAGCUGGUCUGAGAGGAUGGCCAGCCACACUGGAACUGAGACACGGUCCAGACUCCUACGGGAGGCAGCAGUGGGGAAUAUUGGACAAUGGGGGCAACCCUGAUCCAGCAAUGCCGCGUGUGUGAAGAAGGCCUGAGGGUUGUAAAGCACUUUCAGUGGGGAGGAGGGUACUUAGGUUAAGAGCUAGAGUAUUGGACGUUACCCACAGAAGAAGCACCGGCUAACUCCGUGCCAGCCGCCGCGGUAA